GGAGAGGUGGCAGAGUGGUCGAAUGCGGCGGUCUCGAAAACCGUUAAGGGGUUUACGCCCCUUCGAGGGUUCGAAUCCCUCCCUCUCCGCCA
rnacentral:tRNA from 1 species